UGCAAGUCGAGCGAGCUGAAUUCAAAGAUCCCUUCGGGGUGAUUUGUUGGACGCUAGCGGCGGAUGGGUGAGUAACACGUGGGCAAUCUGCCCUAAAGACUGGGAUACCACUUGGAAACAGGUGCUAAUACCGGAUAACAACAUGAAUCGCAUGAUUCAAGUUUGAAAGGCGGCGCAAGCUGUCACUUUAGGAUGAGCCCGCGGCGCAUUAGCUAGUUGGUGGGGUAAAGGCCUACCAAGGCAAUGAUGCGUAGCCGAGUUGAGAGACUGAUCGGCCACAUUGGGACUGAGACACGGCCCAAACUCCUACGGGAGGCAGCAGUAGGGAAUCUUCCACAAUGGACGCAAGUCUGAUGGAGCAACGCCGCGUGAGUGAAGAAGGUUUUCGGAUCGUAAAGCUCUGUUGUUGGUGAAGAAGGAUA
rnacentral:rRNA from 1 species